UAUGCUGCAUAUGCAUCAUGCAGCAAUGUAUUGUGACGGCUGCGGCAUCGCUGACAAAGAGACCUGUCACAAUUAUUCGUCAAAUGUCGGGAAUUUAGACAAUUCCUGCACAAUUUGGAAUUCCUGACCACGUCGAAGCGCUCCUGAGGAUUCUUUUCCAAGAAUACUGGGCACCGGAAAAGGGGGCUGAGAAUUCUUCUUGGAGGGAUUGGAUGUGGACAAUGAGCUGUCAUUGCAAGCCUCAAGAACAUCGCAGCGAUCGUUCAGGAACUCAAGAUAAUCUUCCCAUGUUGGAGAUUGUAUGUUGAGAUUUUUCCUUUUGACUUCCCAAAGACUGCGAGUCUGGCUGUCCACUCGCUGGUUCAAGAAUUGUAUGAGCCAUGGAUCACGGCUAUUUUCAUUGAUAGCAUCAAGAGCAUUUGUCACUUCUUCGGCGAUCGAAUGAAUUUGUCGCAAAUUCUUCUUGUCGGCUGAUUUGAUGAAUGAAUAGACCACACCCUGGUGUAGUUUGCAUCAGAAAUUGGAAUGUGUUUAACCUUAGAAGCUGCUUCCGGUGUCAACAAUCCCAUGAGAAGUUGAUGUUUUUGAGCGUCAGAAAUGUCAGUGUUGUUGUGAACUGAAGCGACAAACAAAUCCCGAAAAGAAAUCCACGACUUAUAGGUGCCAUCAAAUUUAGGAAUUUCUAGAUCAGGCAAUUGUAGAGGUUUCGGAGACUGUCCAGAGCGCCCAGAGAGAACGGCUUUGAUGAGCUCAUUGAUUUGAGUUUGCUGAUUGACAAAAGCCAUGAGAAUGCUGGAAUUUGUUGAGUCGUGAAGCUGAGAUGUCCCUUCGGCUUUUGUUCCCGGAUGGGAAGCCUCAGAGUCGUGGUUUGGAGAUUGGCUGGAUGCGCGCAAUAGCUCCAAAAUCCUGCUUUCGAGAAGACUGAAGAACUGAGCGUGUUCUGUCAGCCAAGUUUCCUCUUCUUCACAUGAUCCUUCAUCCUUAGCCACGUCAAUAAUUUCCCUCUGAAGGUGGAUAAUCUUCGAAUUGACAUUUCUGGCAGACUCAAGCUUGUGUAGUAGCUCCUCUUGUGAACAUUUGUCGCUCACAGAGUUAUGGAUCUUGGAAAGGGCAGAUCUGUGACCCGCACGUUGAUUCUUCAAAGUCAUCCUGAUUGUGUCUCAGUUCCUUUGAAGCGUAUAGAAUGAGGAUUGCGCUGUUGCAACAAUCAGUGUGAUGAAGGUGGCAGCUGGUGCUGGCUCCUUGUAGGCUCGAUGACCAAUUAAUGGUUCCUUUCAAGCGUAUAGAAUGUUGCAGCUGGUGCUGGCUCCUUGUAGGCUCGAUGACCAAUUAAUGUUAGGGUUUACCUAUGAGAAUGGAUUGAAAAGCAUGAGAUCCUGAACCUCAAUGACUUCCUUGACAAUUGUAGUAUGAGAUACCUAUGAGAAUGGAUUGAAAAGCAUGAGAUCCUGAACCUCAAUGACUUCCUUGACAAUUGUAGUAUGAGAUACCUGUGAAAUAUAUAAGACUUGAAGAUCUGGCGA